rnacentral:RNase_MRP_RNA from 1 species
UUGCGAGGCAUGCGUAACCUGCAAGGAGGAGAAGGAAGGAAGGACGGACCGCAAGGAUGCACGUACUCCACCUCCGAAAGCAUCACCUGUCGAAGCGUGCCCGACGAAGACGGAAGGUUGAAGCAAAAGUGCGAACGUGUACGCAGGAAAUUCCGACAGUGUCCAGGAAGG